rnacentral:rRNA from 1 species
AUGCUACCCAUAUCCCCAAGAGGGAGCGCAAGCGUGCACUCAGGGACGUCUACGCGAUGGAGCCAGUCGCCCCAAAGUACAACCCAUGGUCGUCCUAUCCGAUCACCUUCGAUCGCAGGGACCAUCCGACCAGUAUCUGUCAUGGCGGUUCAGCUACACUGGUCCUUGACCCAAUCAUUGAUGGAUUCCACCUUAGUGAGUCCUCAUGGACAGCGGCAGCAGCCUGAACCUGCUCUAUCAGGAUACAGUGCGCAAAAUAGGUAUCGACCCCUCAAGGAUCAAGCCCACAAAAACCACCUUUAA